UAUAGAUUGUGUGAUCAGGAUAUUUUAACAUAGAGACUGGGAAAGGCAGCUGUUAAUGGGACUUAGAACAACACACACCAGGAGAGGACAGGGUACUGUCUAACCCACUGAGUGUCUCCAGCACUCCUUAAUGUUGUUUCGUUUCGGCAUCUGCAGUCUCUUUUGCUUUAAGCACUUGCGCCGACCACCCUAUUGACUGGUUCAUGAACUGAAGCAAACACAUUCUGUUGCAUGGCUUCGCGUUUCCCUCCUCCAUCGACCUCGUGGAAAAGAAAAAUACUCUGCGUCUGAUCUGAUGACCUGACCUCCUAAACCACAAGCAGCAAAUAGCAUCAUAAAGCCCUGUCGUGAGGUGAAUAUAAUUCCAUUUCAGCCCAUCCCUUAUGCUGAGCUGUGGUGAGAAUGGUUUGCUAUUUCUGCCAGAAGACAGCAUGAUGCAAUGGACAUGCACUAACCUAGUAUUGCAAGUGAAUCUUCUUCAACCCACUUUCAUGGAUGACAGAUCAAGAUAUUUGGAAGAAGAGUGCAUGAUCAGUGAUGCUGCUGUACCUGUUAAUUUUGGGUCAUAGAGUCGCGGAACAACACAGCUCAGAUACAGGCCCGUCGGCCCAACAAGUCGACGCUGAUCACAGUCAUCUCCCAGUUGAAGAAGGAUUCUGCUUGAACUGAACUUUCAUUUAACAUUUAACACUAACCUCUAACAGUUCUUGUUGAUGACACACUAAUCUAAAAAUUCACAAGUUACUUCUGAAUUCAGUCUCUUUAACCCGGUGAAGGGAAGUACUAAUGGCAAGUUGUUGACUUUCUCUACAACCUGCAGCCUCUUUUGGUUCUGCUGGAGACCUUGGGCCUGCUUGUGUAACUUAGGACCUACCUAGAGAGCUGUAAGUUUAGAUGGAGCAAUAAGUGCACCACAGCCUGGUGUAAAUUUCCUGAGCGGCACCAGGUUCUUGUUUAAGUUCCUGAUGUUUUUGGUGGGGGGAGGUAGUAAGUUGGACACGAACAGAAACAUCCCAUGGCCAGUUGUUGCUCUGUGUACAGGACGUGGUCAAAUUUCAGGCAUAAAAUGCAUUGAUACCUUGCAAUCACACUAGCUGAUAACAAUUUCCUAAUAACACUGCUUUGCAGAUGAUUAAAGAAGGCUUUGUGGUUUGUGGUCUUGUCUCACAUAGUACUCUGCAACUUCUGUUCUGAGCUCUUAGGGUGAAUUCUAAUGCUGUCCAGGGAGCACGGCACAUUGGAAUUGUACCUUAAUACACCUUUCAUUCUUAAUCCACUC